ACCAUCCUUUUCUUGGGGUUGCGCUACUGUCCAAUGAGCGCCCAGUGAGGGCAGUACUGCUAAUGCCUGAACAACACGCCCGCAUCAACUAGAGCUUUGCAUUAUCUUGGUGCAAUUUUUGGAAAA
ensembl:snRNA